AGCAGCCGCGGUAAUUCCAGCUCCAAUAGCGUAUAUUAAAGUUGUUGCAGUUAAAAAGCUCGUAGUUGAAUUUCGAGACCGGCUUACUGGUCGUGCUAUUGUGCGUACUGGUAUAAUCGGUUUCUCCUUUCUGACGAACUAUAAUGCCAUUAAUUUGGUGUUAUAGGGAAUCAGGACUGUUACUUUGAAAAAAUUAGAGUGUUUAAAGCAGGCUCACGCUUGAAUACAUUAGCAUGGAAUAACGGAAUAGGACGUUUGAUUCUAUUUUGUUGGUUUCUAGGAUCGACGUAAUGAUUAAUAGGGGUAGUUGGGGGCAUUAGUAUUCAAUUGUCAGAGGUGAAAUUCUUGGAUUUAUUGAAGACUAACUACUGCGAAAGCAUUUGCCAA
rnacentral:rRNA from 1 species